rnacentral:rRNA from 1 species
GAUGAACGCUGGCGGCGUGCCUAACACAUGCAAGUCGAACGAUGAACCCGGAGCUUGCUCCGGCGGAUUAGUGGCGAACGGGUGAGUAACACGUGAGUAACCUGCCCUUGACUCUGGGAUAACUGCGGGAAACUGUAGCUAAUACCGGAUACGACCCUCGGCGGCAUCGCCAGGGGGUGGCAAGAAUUUCGGUCAAGGAUGGACUCGGGGCCUAUCAGCUGGUUGGUGAGGGAACGGCUCACAAAGGCGACGACGGGUAGCCGGCAUGAGAGGGUGACCGGCCACACUGGGACUGAGACACGGCCCAGACUCCUACGGGAGGCAGCAGUGGGGAAUAUUGCACAAUGGGCGCAAGCCUGAUGCAGCAACGCCGCGUGAGGGAUGACGGCCUUCGGGUUGUAAACCUCUUUUAGUAGGGAAGAAGCGAAAGUGACGGUACCUGCAGAAAAAGCACCGGCUAACUACGUGCCAGCCGCCGCUGUAA